GGCCCCGGAAGCCAAUUAUUUUCAUCACCCCACCGUUUGGGGGGUCAAUGGCGGCGGCCUGUCAAGCCGUAAACACGGAUUCGAAUUCCGUUGGGGCCGCCA
rnacentral:tRNA from 1 species